GAAGGACACUCAGCAUCUCGCAUGAUCAGUCCCUAAUUUGCUAAGUACUGCACUUGUCCCACAUAAUGGCAACAGUACACAUAGAACAGCUGCUGGAUUGUAGAACUGACUCUAAACUCUGUUCUUAAGGUUUGUUUUUUUUAAUAGAGAAGGGGAGGACGAGUGUAAAAAUAUUACUUUGUGAGUUGCUGGGCUACCACAUGGUCCUGACCCCAAGGCAGCAGUUACAGUACUGAUUUCUGCCCUGCAUUGUUAGCUGACCACAGUGAAGUUUGACAUAGUCAUUAUUCCACACCCUCACUGAUGGUUUGGCAGCUCUGUCAGUUUAUGAAUGUGAGGAUGGUGUCGUAUUGCAGUUCGGUGAACUGAAGGUGAAUGUACUCACCCACAGUGAUCCUAAUGGAUUCACACACAAAUGGACAAAAUCAGGUUAGGAAGAAAU